GACGAACGCUGGCGGCGUGCUUAACACAUGCAAGUCGAGCGGUAAGGCCCCUUCGGGGGUACACGAGCGGCGAACGGGUGAGUAACACGUGAGCAACCUGCCCUCCACAUCGGGAUAACCCCGGGAAACCGGGGCUAAUACCGGAUACGACCACCAGCGGCAUCGCAGGUGGUGGAAAGCUCCGGCGGUGGGGGAUGGGCUCGCGGCCUAUCAGCUUGUUGGUGGGGUGAUAGCCCACCAAGGCGACGACGGGUAGCCGGCCUGAGAGGGUGACCGGCCACACUGGGACUGAGACACGGCCCAGACUCCUACUGGAGGCAGCAGUGGGGAAUAUUGCGCAAUGGGCGAAAGCCUGACGCAGCGACGCCGCGUGGGGGAGUGAAGGUCUUCGG
rnacentral:rRNA from 1 species